AACGAACGUUAGCGGCGCGCUUAACACAUGCAAGUCGAGCGAGAAAGGGCUUCGGCCCCGGUAAAGCGGCGCACGGGUGAGUAACACGUAGGUAAUCUGCCCUCAGGUGGUGGAUAACUUUCCGAAAGGAAGGCUAAUACAGCAUGAGACCACGGUUCCGAAAGGGACAGGGGUCAAAGCCGGCCAAUUCAUGAAAGCUGGUGCCAGAGGAUGAGCCUGCGGCCCAUCAGCUAGUUGGUAGGGUAAUGGUCGACCAAGGCGAAGACGGGUAGCUGGUCGGAGAGGAGAAUCAGCACCACGGGAACUGAGACACGGUCCAGACUCCUACGGGAGGCAGCAGUGGGGAAUCUUGCGCAAUGGGCGAAAGCCUGACGCAGCGACGCCGCGCGAGUGAUGAAGGCCCUCGGGUUGUAAAGCUCUGUGGAGGGGGACGAAUAAGGGUUGGCUAAUAUCCAACUUGAUGACGGUACCCCUUUAGCAAGCACCGGCUAACUCUGUGCCAGCCGCCGCGGUAAAAC
rnacentral:rRNA from 1 species